AUUGAACGCUGGCGGCAGGCCUAACACAUGCAAGUCGAACGGUAACAGGAAGCAGCUUGCUGCUUUGCUGACGAGUGGCGGACGGGUGAGUAAUGUCUGGGAAACUGCCCGAUGGAGGGGGAUAACUACUGGAAACGGUAGCUAAUACCGCAUAACGUCGCAAGACCAAAGAGGGGGACCUUAGGGCCUCUUGCCAUCGGAUGUGCCCAGAUGGGAUUAGCUAGUAGGUGGGGUAACGGCUCACCUAGGCGACGAUCCCUAGCUGGUCUGAGAGGAUGACCCGCCAAACUGGAAUUGGAACACGGCCCAGACCCCUAGGGGGGGCAGCAGGGGGGAAUUUUGCAAAAGGGGGGAAAGCCUGAUGCAGCCACGCCGGGUGUAUGAAGAAGGCCUUCGGGUUUUAAAGUCCUUUCAGGGGGGAGGAAGGGAGUAAAGUUAAAACCUUUGCUCAUUGACGUUACCCGCAGAAGAAGCACCGGCUAACUCCGG
rnacentral:rRNA from 1 species